rnacentral:rRNA from 1 species
AGUGAACUCUGGCGGUAGGCCUAACACAUGCAAGUCGAACGGCAGCACAGUAAGAGCUUGCUCUUACGGGUGGCGAGUGGCGGACGGGUGAGGAAUACAUCGGAAUCUACUUUUUCGUGGGGGAUAACGUAGGGAAACUUACGCUAAUACCGCAUACGGCCUACGGGUGAAAGCAGGGGAUCUUCGGACCUUGCGCGAUUGAAUGAGCCGAUGUCGGAUUAGCUAGUUGGCGGGGUAAAGGCCCACCAAGGCGACGAUCCGUAGCUGGUCUGAGAGGAUGAUCAGCCACACUGGAACUGAGACACGGUCCAGACUCCUACGGGAGGCAGCAGUGGGGAAUAUUGGACAAUGGGCGCAAGCCUGAUCCAGCCAUACCGCGUGGGUGAAGAAGGCCUUCGGGUUGUAAAGCCCUUUUGUUGGGAAAGAAAAGCAGCAGGUUAAUACCCCGCUGUUCUGACGGUACCCAAAGAAUAAGCACCGGCUAACUUCGUG